rnacentral:rRNA from 1 species
GCCAUGGACGAAAGUCUAGACCGAGCAACGCCGCGUGAGUGAAGAAGGUGUUCGGAUGCGUAAAGCUCUGUUGUAAGAGAAGAACGGGUGUGAGAGUGGAAAGUUCACACUGUGACGGUAUCUUACCAGAAAGGGACGGCUAACUACGUGCCAGCAGCCGCGGUAAUACGUAGGUCCCCGAGCGUUGUCCGGAUUUAUUGGGCGUAAAGCGGGCGCAGGCGGUUAGAUAAGUCUGAAGUUAAAGGCUGUGGCUUAACCAUAGUACGCUUUGGAAACUGUUUAACUUGAGGUGCAGAAGGGGGGAGUGGAAUUCCAUGUGUACCGGGUGAAAAUGCGUAGAUAUAUGGAGGAACACCGGUGGCGAAAGCGGCUCUCUGGUCUGUAACUGACGCUGAGGCUCGAAAGCGUGGGGAGCGAACAGGAUUAGAUACCCUGGUAGUCCACGCCGUAAACGAUGAGUGCUAGGUGUUAGGCCUUUCCGGGGCUUAGUGCCGCAGCUAACGCAUUAA